AAAGGCAUGGAGAGGACACAAGUACAAGCUUCACACUUAUUUCAAGGAGAUUGGAGGAGAAAGAGAUGUUGAGUUAGCUAAGAGGAAGCCCCAUCCAGAGUUAAAGGUUAAUUAACAUUGAGAUUGGGAGAUUUUAUGUGAUUAUUGGACGUCAGAGAAAUUUCAGGAUUGGUCAACAAAGAACACAGAGAGUCGAUCAAAGAGAAAGUGGGGAUCAAGAAAUGGGUCAGUUUCCACUCCACGACAUCACAUUCGUAGAGGAGUUGUGUUGACAGCACCCAGUGGUCAAAUUGAGACAUGGAGACUGAAGCAUUGUGAUCCUCACAAUGGAUGGAUAGCCCCAGAGCUUGAGGAGAUCUAUGAUCGUAUGAUGACUUUACGAAAUGA